rnacentral:rRNA from 1 species
UACGUAGGGGGCAAGCGUUGUCCGGAAUCAUUGGGCGUAAAGCGCGUGUAGGCGGCCCGAUAAGUCCGCUGUGAAAGUCCAGGGCUCAACCCUGGAAUGCCGGUGGAUACUGUCGGGCUCGAGUCCGGAAGAGGCGAGUGGAAUUCCUGGUGUAGACGGUGAAUGCGCAGAUAUCAGGAGGAACACCGGUGGCGAAGGCGGGUCUCUGGGCCGUAACUGACGCUGAGGAGCGAAAGCCAGGGGAGCAAACGGG